rnacentral:rRNA from 1 species
AAUAGAUACCCAGGUAGUCCACGCCGUAAACGGUGGGUACUAGGUGUGGGUUUCCUCCCUUGGGAUCCGUGCCGUAGCUAACGCAUUAAGUACCCCGCCUGGGGAGUACGGCCGCAAGGCUAAAACUCAAAGGAAUUGACGGGGGGCCCGCACAAGCGGCGGAGCAUGUGGAUUAAUUCGAUGCAACGCGAAGGACCUUACCUGGGUUUGACAUGCACAGGACGACUGCAGAGAUGUGGUUUCCCUUGCGGCCUGUGUGCAGGUGGUGCAUGGCUGUCGCCAGCUCGUGUCGUGAGAUGUUGGGUUAAGUCCCGCAACGAGCGCAACCCUUGUCUCAUGUUGCCAGCACGUGAUGGUGGGGACUCGUGAGAGACUGCCGGGGUCAACUCGGAGGAAGGUGGGGAUGACGUCAAGUCAUCAUGCCCCUUAUGUCCAGGGCUUCACACAUGCUACAAUGGCCGGUACAAAGGGCGGCGAUGCCGUGAGGCUUAGCGAAUCCUUUAAAGCCGGUCUCAGUUCGGAUCGGGGU